rnacentral:rRNA from 1 species
ACCGAGCAACGCCGCGUGAACGAUGAAGUACUUCGGUAUGUAAAGUUCUUUUAUUGAAGAAGAAAAAAUAGUGGAAAAACUAUCUUGACGCUAUUCAAUGAAUAAGCCCCGGCAAACUAUGUGCCAGCAGCCGCGGUAAUACAUAGGGGGCAAGCGUUAUCCGGAAUUAUUGGGCGUAAAGGGUGCGUAGACUGUUUAAUAAGUCUAUAGUUUAAUUUCAGUGCUUAACACUGUCCUGCUAUAGAAACUAUUAGACUAGAGUGAGAUAGAGGUAAGCGGAAUUCCAUGUGUAGCGGUAAAAUGCGUAAAUAUAUGGAGGAACACCAGAGGCGUAGGCGGCUUACUGGGUCUUUACUGACGUUGAGGCACGAAAGCGUGGGGAGCAAACAGGAUUAGAUACCCUGGUAGUCCACGCUGUAAACGAUGAGUACUAAGUGUCGGGGAAACUCGGUACUGAAGUUAACACAUUAAGUACUCCGCCUGAGUAGUACGUACGCAAGUAUGAAACUUAAAGGAAUUGACGGGACUCCGCACAAGCGGUGGAUCAUGUUGUUUAAUUCGAAGAUACACGAAAAACCUUACCAGGUCUUGACAUACUCUGCAAAGCUAUAGCAAUAUAGUGGAGGUUAUCAGGGAUACAGGUGGUGCAUGGUUGUCGUCAGCUCGUGUCGUGAGAUGUUAGGUUAAGUCCUAAAACGAGCGCAACCCUUAUCGUUAGUUACCAGCAUGUUAUGAUGGGUACUUUAACGAGACUGCCAA